rnacentral:rRNA from 1 species
UACGUAGGCAGCGAGCGUUGUUCGGAAUUACUGGGCGUAAAGAGUGUGUAGGCGGUGCUUUAAGUUCGGUGUGAAAUCUCCUGGCUCAACUGGGAGGGUGCGCCGGAAACUGGAGUGCUUGAGCGUGGGAGAGGAAAGCGGAAUUCCUGGUGUAGCGGUGAAAUGCGUAGAUAUCAGGAGGAACACCUGUGGUGUAGACGGCUUUCUGGACCAUUGCUGACGCUGAGACACGAAAGCGUGGGUAGCAAACAGG